UGUGAAGUUAAGCACUCACAGGCUCAGUUAGUACUGAGGUCAGUGAUGACUCGGGAACCCUGAGUGCCGUACUCUUUUUUUGGCGGGCCCCAUCGCCCGCUUUCGCCAAUCCAGCG
rnacentral:rRNA from 2 species